CAAGUGCUCAAAGUCCCUGGAGGUCCCUUGCUGCUAAGGUGUCCCUUGACAGUACAGAGAGAAAAGUGACACCGGCUCUGGCCAAGGCCGAUUAGAAGCAGUUGUGCUGAGUUGAGAGCAGCCCGGAAGGCAGGCAAUGAGCAGAAGGGAGCUGGGAUGGAUGAAUGCCAUCAGAACUUCCUGCAUCUCCACUAGAAGGCUGUGCCAGCUGGGGCUCCGGGUGGAAUGUGCAGAGCAGGGCACAAAGCCUCGGUGCUGUCAGACCAGGUGGCACAAAUCUGCACAGCAUGCUCAGCAUUAUAAGAAGAUCAACGAUAAAUUGCUGAAGAUGCACAUAAGAUGCUAGUAUGAAAUCAGAAAGAAUCCAGAGAGAUCCCAGUGGACUGGAAGUUGGGUGACACUAACCUGACUUUCAAGAAGGGCAAGAGGGAGGACCCUGGAAGUUACAGGCCUGUCAGUCUCAUUUCAGUGCCAGGUAAAAUCAUGGAAAAAACUAUUCUGGAAGAUACUGAAAAACACCUGGAGGACAAUGCAGCCAUCAGUCCCAGCCAGCACAGCUGCUUGAGAGGGAAGUCCUGCUGUCAAAUCUCAUUUCUAUUUCAGCUUCCUUCUGGGAAUGAAGAUGACACAUUAAACAGAUCCUGCUCAUCUGAAAGUCUGAGUCCAAUUCUCUGUUAGAAUGAACUCCAUUUAUACUUUUGAUGAUUUGCCAGUUCCCAAAAAGUGUUGAGCAACACCUGCUUGAUUACAAUCUGUCUGCACUGCUCUUUUGAUACUCCAUGAGAUGCAACACAAGUGUGUGCUUUUGCAUUACGUCAGUUAGGUUAAUUCUUCCAAUUAUACCUUUAAGUAAUUAUAAGAUUUUCUUUCAUAAUAUUCCUGAGAUUGAUGGGAUUAUCAGGCUUUUUCCCCAUAAAACCUGAAAACAAUGGAAAAACCCCACAUAUUUAAGGACACAAAUACAAACCUAAUCUACACACAGCAGAAACCUAACAGGUUUCUUAUGGUGUGCAUCAGUCAAGACUUUGUAUUACUGUCCCUUCCUCUUUUGCCUUCUAGAUUUAUAAUAUGCCCUUUCUUUACAUACCAAACCCAAUAAUGCACUUACUAUACCCUAAAAGUAUAAAUUCAACAGAAUUCCAGAAUUAAAAACAAACAUCUGGAAAACCUUACAACAAAUCUUCAAUAUCUCAUCUCUGAUACUUCCUCAAAAUUUCCAGAUGCAGUGAAACACAACGGUGAUAAUUUCUGGCACCACCUGGAAGCCCCCACCUCAGGUCCAUCAGCUGGAGUUAUAACCUCUUACUUUACAGUAGUUGUCUAAUUGAGGAAAGUAUUCUUCCCUUAAUGCAUUUCUUUCUGCCUCUGAUCCUAGCACAAAUAAGCAUAGUGAGAUCAGAUUGUUGUAACUUGAAAUCAUUGCAGUUUUGAUUAUUUUGCUAUGUUUGAUGGCAGAAGCUUUGAAUGAGUCAGAGGAUAAACAUUUCUUAAAUAAGACACAUAUUCUUACAGAUAUUCUUAAUCUUUGUACAUUGAUACCCAAUGUGAUAUGAUGUUAUGAGGCACCUCACCAAGACUGCAUUUAUACUCACAUGCACAGUAAAUCACAUUUUAACCAUUCUGCUUACAAGACACAGUCUGAAAUACUGAUGAGCUGGAUUUACAUUUGCAAAAUGUACAUCUAAACCCAAAUUUUGUGCACUCCCCUUCCUUCCAGCAGAAAAAAUUCUGAGCUUACAACACUCAAAAUAUUAAAGUAUUCAGAAUCUUGCAGAAAAGAGGAAGCGAGGCUUUAGGGUUGUCUCCACUUCUUCACAUAACAGAAAUUGCAUUUGCUUGAUAUACAAGAAUCCCACAGCUUCAAAUCAAAAUUUCUAGAUUUGCUCCUGUGCAUAAACUUUUUCUGGUGACAUUUUUUCCUCCCAUCAAGGGUUUACUAUUAAUACUUUAAAUAAUACUUUAUCAUCUUCUAAAAUACCUUAAGAGAUAUGUUAACAUACAGAGAAACAACAUAUGUUUAUCAACUGUAAUUUUUAGAAGACUAACCAACCAUGUUCUUAAGGCUCCAAAUUUGAGAUCCUUCCUCCUUCUUCCACUCUUCACUUCUACUGUCAUCUUUUCUCCCUAAACAGAUAUCCAAAGAAGUUGAGUAUUUCCUUUUCAUAUUUAGCAUAUGUCUCCUCAUAGAAUAUCUUUCCCAUUUCCUGAUCUUGCAAGACAAUGACCUGCCUUGCCUCCUCUGUGUUCAUCAGUAGAGCAUCUAAGAGCAGAGCUUGUGUCUGUGAAACAAAGAUUAUUGCGAUGAUCACAAAGAGAUUCUGCCCAAUUUUUACCAGUUAGAGUUUGUAGCAGAGGUCUCAAGUGCAUACAUGUAAAACAAGAGAAAAUAAACCAGGAGUGACACAUUGUAGCUUGUGCA
rnacentral:lncRNA from 1 species